rnacentral:rRNA from 1 species
ACAUCCAGCGAACUUGGCAGAGAUGCCUUGGUGCCCUCGGGAACGCUGAGACAGGUGCUGCAUGGCUGUCGUCAGCUCGUGUUGUGAAAUGUUGGGUUAAGUCCCGNAACGAGCGCAACCCUUAUCCUUUGUUGCCAGCGAUUUGGUCGGGAACUCAAAGGAGACUGCCGGUGAUAAACCGGAGGAAGGUGGGGAUGACGUCAAGUCAUCAUGGCCCUUACGAGUAGGGCUACACACGUGCUACAAUGGCGCAUACAAAGAGAAGCGACCUCGCGAGAGCAAGCGGACCUCAUAAAGUGCGUCGUAGUCCGGAUCGGAGUCUGCAACUCGACUCCGUGAAGUCGGAAUCGCUAGUAAUCGUGGAUCAGAAUGCCACGGUGAAUACGUUCCCGGGCCUUGUACACACCGCCCGUCACACCAUGGGAGUGGGUUGCAAAAGAAGUAGGUAGCUUAACCUUCGGGAGGGCGCUUACCACUUUGUGAUUCAUGACUGGGGUGAAGUCGUAACAAGGUAAGCGUAGCGAG